rnacentral:rRNA from 1 species
UUCUUACGGGGGGCAGCAGUGAGGAAUAUUGGUCAAUGGCCGGAAGGCUGAACCAGCCAAGCCGCGUGAAGGACGAAGGUGCCAAGCAUUGUAAACUUCUUUUGUCAGGGGACAAAAUCAGGCUCGAGAGCCUGACCGAGGGUACUUGAAGAAAAAGCAUCGGCUAACUCCGUGCCAGCAGCCGCGGUAAUACGGAGGAUGCGAGCGUUAUCCGGAUUUAUUGGGUUUAAAGGGUGCGUAGGCGGGAUGCCAAGUCAGCGGUAAAAAUGCGGUGCUCAACGCCGUCGAGCCGUUGAAACUGGCGU